GUGCCAGCGCCGCGGUAAUACGGAGGGUGCAAGCGUUGUCCGGAAUCACUGGGCGUAAAGGGUGCGCAGGCGGGGCAGCAAGUCGGAGGUGAAAGCCCGUGGCUCAACCACGGAAGUGCCUUCGAAACUGUUGCUCUUGAGUCCCGGAGAGGUUGUCGGAAUUCGUGGUGUAGCGGUGAAAUGCGUAGAUAUCACGAGGAACACCAGAGGCGAAAGCGGGCAACUGGACGGCUUCGACAGUGAGGGACGAAAGCUCGGGUCUCAAACCGGAUUAGAUACCCGGGUAGUC
rnacentral:rRNA from 1 species